UACAGAGGUCUCAAGCGUUGUUCGGAUUCAUUGGGCGUAAAGGGUGUGUAGGUGGCGCCGUAAGUCGGGUGUGGAAGCCCCAGGCUCAACCUGGGAAUUGCAUCUGAAACUGCCGGGCUAGAGUUCAGGAGAGGAGGGCGGAACUCCCAGUGUAGCGGUGAAAUGCGUAGAUAUUGGGAGGAACACCGGUGGCGAAGGCGGCUCUCUGGACUGAAACUGACGCUGAGGCGCGAAAGCCAGGGGAGCGAACGGG
rnacentral:rRNA from 1 species